AGCAGGGUGGCUUAGUGGAUAGAGCAUGGGCCCAGGAGUCAGAGGACCUGGGUCCUAAUCCCAACUCUGCUA
rnacentral:tRNA from 1 species